CCCUUAGAUGUUCUGGGCCGCACGCGCGCUACACUGACGAAGUCAGCGAGCAUGUCCUACGCCGACAGGUGCGGGGAAUCUUGUCAAACUUCGUCGUGAUGGGGAUUGAUUAUUGAAAUUCUUUAUCAUCAACGAGGAAUUCCUAGUAAGCGCAAGUCAGCAGCUUGCGUUGAUUACGUCCCUGCCCUUUGUACACACCGCCCGUCGCUACUACCGAUUGAAUGGUUUAGUGAGAUCUUCGGAUUGGCGCCACUGCGGCUCAGCAAUGGGCUCGGUGGAUGCCGAAAAGUUGAUCAAACUUGAUCAUUUAGAGGAAGUAAAAGUCGUAACA
rnacentral:rRNA from 1 species